UACGUAGGCAGCGAGCGUUGUUCGGAGUUACUGGGCGUAAAGAGUGCGUAGGCGGUUUUCUAAGUUUGGUGUGAAAUCUCCCGGCUCAACUGGGAGGGUGCGCCGAAGACUGGAAGGCUUGAGUAUGGGAGAGGUAAGCGGAAUUCCUGGUGUAGCGGUGAAAUGCGCAGAUAUCAGGAGGAACACCGGUGGCGAAGGCGGGUCUCUGGGCAGUAACUGACGCUGAGGAGCGAAAGCGUGGGGAGCGAACAGG
rnacentral:rRNA from 1 species